AUUGAACGCUGGCGGCAGGCCUAACACAUGCAAGUCGAGCGGAUGAAGGGAGCUUGCUCCUGGAUUCAGCGGCGGACGGGUGAGUAAUGCCUAGGAAUCUGCCUGGUAGUGGGGGAUAACGUCCGGAAACGGGCGCUAAUACCGCAUACGUCCUGAGGGAGAAAGUGGGGGAUCUUCGGACCUCACGCUAUCAGAUGAGCCUAGGUCGGAUUAGCUAGUUGGUGGGGUAAAGGCCUACCAAGGCGACGAUCCGUAACUGGUCUGAGAGGAUGAUCAGUCACACUGGAACUGAGACACGGUCCAGACUCCUACGGGAGGCAGCAGUGGGGAAUAGUGGACAAGGGGCGAAAGCCUGAUCCAGCCAUGCCGCGUGUGUGAAGAAGGUCUUCGGAUUGUAAAGCACUUUAAGUUGGGAGGAAGGGCAGUAAGUUAAUACCUUGCUGUUUUGACGUUACCAACAGAAUAAGCACCGGCUAACUUCG
rnacentral:rRNA from 1 species